AGAGUUUGAUCAUGGCUCAGAGCGAACGUUAGCGGCGCGCCUAACACAUGCAAGUCGCACGGGGUAGCAAUACUCAGUGGCGCACGGGUGCGUAACACGUAGAUAACCUGCCCCGAAGAGGGGGAUAACGUUCCGAAAGGAGCGCUAAUACCGCAUAACGCCGAGAUGGGUUCGCCUGUUUCGGACAAAGGCUGGGACCAGCAAUGGCCAGUCGUUUUGGGAGGGGUCUGCGGCCCAUCAGCUAGUUGGUAAGGUAAAGGCUUACCAAGGCAAAGACGGGUAGCUGGUCUGAGAGGAUGAUCAGCCACACUGGUACUGGAACACGGACCAGACUCCUACGGGAGGCAGCAGUGGGGAAUCUUGGUCAAUGGGCGCAAGCCUGAACCAGCGACGCCGCGUGAGUGAUGAAGGCCUUCGGGUUGUAAAGCUCUGUGGGGAGGGACGAAAGACUGAGGUCUAAUAGGCUUCAGGUUGACGGUACCUCCUUAGCAAGCACCGGCUAACUCUGUGCCAGCAGCCGCGGUAAGACAGAGGGUGCAAACGUUGCUCGGAAUCACUGGGCGUAAAGGGCGUGUAGGCGGGAAGGAAAGUCAGAUGUGAAAUCCCCAGGCUCAACCUGGGAACUGCAUUUGAAACUCCCUUUCUUGAGUACCGGAGAGGAAAGUGGAAUUCCUGGUGUAGAGGUGAAAUUCGUAGGUAUCAGGAGGAACACCAGUGGCGAAGGCGGCUUUCUGGACGGUAACUGACGCUGAGACGCGAAAGCGUGGGGAGCAAACAGGAUUAGAUACCCCAGUAGUCC
rnacentral:rRNA from 1 species